rnacentral:lncRNA from 1 species
ACCCAACAGCCAUUUUCCUGAUUGACCGAAGAAGGUACUCCGCCCUAUUGGUCUUCGGGAUUAUGGUCGAAGCAGAGUAGAUGAAGACCCAACAGCCAUUUUCCUGAUUGACCGAAGAGGGUACUCCGCCCUAUUGGUAUUCGGGAAUAUGGUCAAAGUAGAGUAGAUGAAGACCCAACAGCCAUUUUCCUGAUUGACCGAAAAAGGUAUUCCGCCCUAUUGGUCUUCGGGAUUAUGGUCGAAGCAGAGUAGAUAAAGACCCAACAGCCAUUUUCCUGAUUGAUCGAAGAAGGGUAUUCCGCCCUAUUGGUCUUCGGGAUUAUGGUCGAAGCAGACCCAGAAGCCACACUCCUGAGAAUCCACUGAGGGCACACCGCCCUGGGGAUACUUGUCUUUGGGGAAAUCCAUCUAAAGUUGCAGCUUCAGAUGGAAAGCAGCUGAGGAGUUCGACAAAGCCA